rnacentral:rRNA from 1 species
CCUACGGGAGACAGCAGUCGGGAAUAUUGCGCAAUGGAGGAAACUCUGACGCAGUGACGCCGCGUGCAGGAAGAAGGUUUUCGGAUUGUAAACUGCUUUAGACAGGGAAGAAAAAAGACAGUACCUGACUAAGAAGCCCCGGCUAACUACGUGCCAGCAGCCGCGGUAAUACGUAGGGGGCAAGCGUUAUCCGGAUUUACUGGGUGUAAAGGGAGCGUAGGCGGUUUAGCAAGUCAGAAGUGAAAGCCCGGGGCUCAACUCCGGGACUGCUUUUGAAACUGUUGAACUAGAUUGCAGGAGCGGUAAGUGGAAUUCCUAGUGUAGCGGUGAAAUGCGUAGAUAUUAGGAGGAACACCAGUGGCGAAGGCGGCUUACUGGACUGUAAAUGACGCUGAGGCUCGAAAGCGUGGGGAGCAAACAGGAUUAGAUACCCGGGUAGUC